AAUGUGAGAAAUCGCGACGGGGGGAUCCCAAGUGCCAUUCUUAACGGGAUGGCUUUUCAUUAGUGUAAAGAGCUUUUGGAAUAAGAGCUGGGCAAGACCGGUGCCAGCCGCCGCGGUAACACCGGCAGCUCUAGUGGUAACAAUUUUUAUUGGGCCUAAAGCGUCCGUAGCCGGUUUAAUAAGUCUCUGGUGAAAUCCUGUAGCUUAACUGUGGGAAUUGCUGGAGAUACUAUUAGACUUGAGACCGGGAGAGGUUAGAGGUACUCCCAGGGUAGAGGUGAAAUUCUGUAAUCCUGGGAGGACCGCCUGUUGCGAAGGCGUCUAACUGGAACGGUUCUGACGGUGAGGGACGAAAGUUAGGGGCGCGAACCGGAUUAGAUACCCGGGUAGUCCUAACUGUAAACGAUGCGGACUUGGUGUUGGGGUGGCUUUGAGCUGCUCCAGUGCCGAAGGGAAGCUGUUAAGUCCGCCGCCUGGGAAGUACAGUCGCAAGACUGAAACUUAA
rnacentral:rRNA from 1 species